AAAAUCAAAAUUUCAACCAAUCUCAUUGUUCCAAACUUUCCAUUGGGAGUGAAGUGGAGAUGACCAGUUCUUUUUAGCUAUAAACAUAGAUUCCUGGAAAUAAAGGCAAAUGGGCAAGGAGUGGCAGAGAGAUGUGGGAACUAGUCUGACAGUUGGCCCAGAUGCUAAUAGACAACAUGUGAGGGGAGAACCUGCAAUAACUUCAGGCGCACACAAAGACAAAGGGUAAGUCAACACCGAGAUAUGCAUGGGAAGUGCCAG